rnacentral:rRNA from 1 species
GAUGAACGCUGGCGGCGUGCCUAAUACAUGCAAGUCGAGCGAACGGACGAGAAGCUUGCUUCUCUGAUGUUAGCGGCGGACGGGUGAGUAACACGUGGAUAACCUACCUAUAAGACUGGGAUAACUUCGGGAAACCGGAGCUAAUACCGGAUGAUAUUUUGAACCGCAUGGUUCAAAAGUGAAAGACGGUCUUGCUGUCACUUAUAGAUGGAUCCGCGCUGCAUUAGCUAGUUGGUAAGGUAACGGCUUACCAAGGCAACGAUGCAUAGCCGACCUGAGAGGGUGAUCGGCCACACUGGAACUGAGACGCGGUCCAGACUCCUACGGGAGGCAGCAGUAGGGAAUCGUCCGCAAUGGGCGAAAGCCUGACGGAGCAACGCCGCGUGAGUGAUGAAGGUCUUCGGAUCGUAAAACUCUGUUAUUAGGGAAGAACAUAUGUGUAAGUAACUGUGCACAUCUUGACGGUACCUAAUCAGAAAGCCACGGCUAACUACGUG